rnacentral:tRNA from 1 species
GUGGUAAUAACUCAGUGGUGGAGUACAUGCUUAGCAUGCAUGAGGUCCUGGGUUCAAUCCCUAGUACCUCCA